rnacentral:rRNA from 1 species
ACUCAAAGGAAUUGACGGGGGCCCGCACAAGCAGCGGAGCGUGUGGUUUAAUUCGACGCAACGCGUAGAACCUUACCAGGGCUUGACAUGCAGACGCAGCCCUUUGAAAGAGGGGUGCCCGCAAGGGCGGCUGCACAGAUGCUGCAUGGCUGUCGUCAGCUCGUGCCGUGAGGUGUUGGGUUAAGUCCCGCAACGAGCGCAACCCUUGGUGCCAGUUACGGUGUCUGGCGCGACUGCCGCGACAAACGCGGAGGAAGGUGGGGAUGACGUCAAGUCAGCACGGCUCUUACGUCCUGGGCGACACACACGCUACAAUGGCCGGUACAAAGGGUUCCGAAGCCGCGAGGUGGGGGCAAUCCCAAAAAGCCGGUCUCAGUGCAGAUUGCAGGCUGCAACUCGCCUGCAUGAAGACGGAGUUGCUAGUAACCGCCGGUCAGCACACGGCGGUGAAUAUGUUCCCGGGCCUUGUACACACCGCCCGU